UGAGAGUGCGCCACUAAAUUUCUCUCUUUUUUUUAUUGAGGCAGGGUUUUUGUGAACCAUUUGAUUUGUUUUAAUAUAUGAAAACAUUUUGAUGCUUUUUAGAUUUGAGAAAAAAAAAAAGUGCAUAUUUGAAGGAAAAAAAAACCCGUAAUCGAAUGCAGAUCUGUUGUAUUUUUUUCUGGUGCAUUGGUUUAUUGCAUUAGUGCUCUGGCCUGUGACUGCAACACAAUGGAGGACAGAGGGAUGCAGGGGUAAAUGAGUGCAAGGCUCUGCAUGGUGGAUAUUCUUCUCAGAUCCAUUGCUCAGUUUUUUCAAACACCUGAUUCUCCUGAGCUGUUCUUCAGCCUUUUGUAAGGUGUAGUUCCUGCUCUAAUCCUGCAUCUCCAUUCACCUGCACUGUAAUCUCUUCACAUAUCACAUCCUUCUGCUAUGGAUUUCCCUUUCGACCUGAACUCUCUCUUCCCGGAGAGGAUCUCAGUGCUGGAUCAAAAUCUCUGUUGUGCUGCCCGGAAAUCUCAUGGAAGACCCGACGCCCAGAAUCAGACUGCCACUGUAAUUGAUGAAUUAGGAAAAGCCUCAGCCAAGGCCCAGAAGCUGCCUGUGCCGAUAACGAGUGCGGCAAAGCUUCAGGCCAAUAGACAUCACCUUUACCUGCUGAAGGACAGAGAACGUAACGGGAGCCGUGGAGUUGCAGUAGGAUACCUGAAGGUCGGAUACAAGAAGCUCUUUCUGCUUGACCAGCGGGGGGCGCAUGUGGAGACCGAGCCCUUGUGUGUGCUGGAUUUUUAUGUGACCGAGAGCCUGCAGAGACACGGAUACGGGCUGGAGCUGUUCCACUUCAUGCUGCAACACAAGAAGGUGGAGCCUGAACAGAUGGCUUACGACAGACCUUCCUCGAAAUUCCUGGCCUUUCUAGAGAAACACUUUGAACUUAAACACAGUGUGCCUCAGGUGAACAACUUUGUGGUGUUUGAGAGCUUCUUCAGGAACAGAUCAGGCGCUCCUUCCUCCCCUGUGACGGAUCAGGGGAUGUACGGCUUUUUCGGCCCAGUCGAGAAAAGCGCCUCCAAAAAAGCUAGAGGGAGAGAUCAAACCGUAUUCACUAAUGGAGAGAGAGGCUGUGAGAGAGGAGCAGAAGGCCCUCCCGUGGCCGUUCACCCGCUCCACGGCCGUUCCUCAGUCUCCUCCUCUGGUGGCAUCCUCCCCGUACGCUCGCUCCCUGAGCGUGGGCUCGUCCCCCAGCCACACUCCUCGUCCUCAGCCGCACAUUCCUCCCCACCUGGCCGACAAUUGCAGGACAAAACGCACCAGUUCUCUAAAUAGAUCUCAGCUCGGCUUCCAUUGACCUUUAAACUUUCAGCACAGAACUUUUACGAACUUGAAAGCACAUUUUAUCCUUUUUAGUGAUUUGUUUGAUUGUGGCUAAUUUAAGGAUGUGCAGAAAUUGUUCUUUUAGGGAUGUGAAAAUGCAGAUGUUUGUUUUUUUUCAUAAUAUGGCAACGAUGAAGAAAAGGAAGUAACUUGGAAUAGAUAGGGUUUUGAAAUGUCCUUGUAUUUGCUUCAUCAAGACUGUUUUAGUAAUUACAGAAGUGUAAAAUCUUUCCGAAACUUAAGUCUGGUCAAUCUGUCCUGAUCUUGUGUCGACGCCUCUUUUUACUAGUAGCACUUCGAUCUCAAAUAAAAACAAAACCCCAACCUUCCACCAAAAAAUGUCAGAUUUUAUUACUUGUUCACAUCCACGUACUGAUUUAUGCCUCAGUGUGUGUCAUGCUCAUGAAAGAAGAAUCGAAGAGCACAAGGAAGUUGAGUUGCACAUAACGCAUUCAUUGCAUUCCUCAUUAUUUUCUCCACAUAAUUUUAUGAACUAAAGUUUUGGUCCUCUAAUUAUGUUCCUUUUCAUUUUUUUUUUACUUUUUGUCCUAUUUUCUUUCCCAUUUCCUUUUUUUUUCUUUAUCGCAUGCCCUCUCUGAUCCCUCCAUCAUCCCCUUUCCCAUCAUCACCUGUAGCACUCAGGGUUUGGUUGCCAGAAACAACCUUUACAGUCGCCAUGUGAACAGUCGAGGCCUGGGGCUCUUAAUGGCUGAACAGCUGAAGCUGCCAGGGUUGAAGCCAGUGCUCAGUGAGAAAGUGUGUGACGCAGGGGGACAGGACAC